rnacentral:rRNA from 1 species
GACGAACGCUGGCGGCGUGCCUAAUACAUGCAAGUCGAACGCUUCUUUUUCCACCGGAUCUUGCUCCACCGGAAAAAGAGGAGUGGCGAACGGGUGAGUAACACGUGGGUAACCUGCCCAUCAGAAGGGGAUAACCCUUGGAAACAGGUGCUAAUACCGUAUAACAAUCGAAACCGCAUGGUUUCGAUUUGACAGGCGCUUUCGGGUGUCGCUGAUGGAUGGACCCGCGGUGCAUUAGCGAGUUGGUGAGGUAACGGCUCACCAAGGCCACGAUGCAUAGCCGACCUGAGAGGGUGAUCGGACACAUUGGGACUGAGACACGGCCCAAACUCCUACGGGAGGCAGCAGUAGGGAAUCUUCGGCAAUGGACGAAAGUCUGACCGAGCAACGCCGCGUGAGUGAAGAAGGUUUUCGGAUCGUAAAACUCUGUUGUUAGAGAAGAACAAGGAUGAGAGUAACUGUUCAUCCCUUGACGGUAUCUAACCAGAAAGCCACGGCUAACUACGUGCCAGCCGCCGCCGUAA